GAUGAACGCUGGCGGCGUGCCUAAUACAUGCAAGUCGAGCGAACGGACGAGAAGCUUGCUUUUCUGAUGUUAGCGGCGGACGGGUGAGUAACACGUGGAUAACCUACCUAUAAGACUGGGAUAACUUCGGGAAACCGGAGUUAAUACCGGAUAAUAUUUUGAACCGCAUGGUUCAAAAGUGAAAGACGGUCUUGCUGUCACUUAUAGAUGGAUCCGCGCUGCAUUAGCUAGUUGGUAAGGUAACGGCUUACCAAGGCAACGAUGCAUAGCCGACCUGAGAGGGUGAUCGGCCACACUGGAACUGAGACACGGUCCAGACUCCUACGGGAGGCAGCAGUAGGGAAUCUUCCGCAAUGGGCGAAAGCCUGACGGAGCAACGCCGCGUGAGUGAUGAAGGUCUUCGGAUCGUAAAACUCUGUUAUUAGGGAAGAACAUAUGUGUAAGUAACUGUGCACAUCUUGACGGUACCUAAUCAGAAAGCCACGGCUAACUACGUGCCAGCAGCCGCGGUAAUACGUAGGUGGCAAGCGUUAUCCGGAAUUAUUGGGCGUAAAGCGCGCGUAGGCGGUUUUUUAAGUCUGAUGUGAAAGCCCACGGCUCAACCGUGGAGGGUCAUUGGAAACUGGAAAACUUGAGUGCAGAAGAGGAAAGUGGAAUUCCAUGUGUAGCGGUGAAAUGCGCAGAGAUGUGGAGGAACACCAGUGGCGAAGGCGACUUUCUGGUCUGUAACUGACGCUGAUGUGCGAAAGCGUGGGGAUCAAACAGGAUUAGAUACCCUGGUAGUCCACGCCGUAAACGAUGAGUGCUAAGUGUUAGGGGGUUUCCGCCCCUUAGUGCUGCAGCUAACGCAUUAAGCACUCCGCCUGGGGAGUACGACCGCAAGGUUGAAACUCAAAGGAAUUGACGGGGGCCCGCACAAGCGGUGGAGCAUGUGGUUUAAUUCGAAGCAACGCGAAGAACCUUACCAAAUCUUGACAUCCUUUGACAACUCUAGAGAUAGAGCCUUCCCCUUCGGGGGACAAAGUGACAGGUGGUGCAUGGUUGUCGUCAGCUCGUGUCGUGAGAUGUUGGGUUAAGUCCCGCAACGAGCGCAACCCUUAAGCUUAGUUGCCAUCAUUAAGUUGGGCACUCUAAGUUGACUGCCGGUGACAAACCGGAGGAAGGUGGGGAUGACGUCAAAUCAUCAUGCCCCUUAUGAUUUGGGCUACACACGUGCUACAAUGGACAAUACAAAGGGCAGCGAAACCGCGAGGUCAAGCAAAUCCCAUAAAGUUGUUCUCAGUUCGGAUUGUAGUCUGCAACUCGACUACAUGAAGCUGGAAUCGCUAGUAAUCGUAGAUCAGCAUGCUACGGUGAAUACGUUCCCGGGUCU
rnacentral:rRNA from 1 species